rnacentral:rRNA from 1 species
GGCGCACGGGUGAGUAACGCGUGGAUAAUCUGCCCGAUGAUCUGGAAUAACAUCUCGAAAGGGGUGCUAAUACCGGAUAAGACCACGUAAUCCCUGGAUUCUGCGGUAAAAGGUGGGGACCUUCGGGCCUACCGUCAUUGGAUGAGUCCGCGUACCAUUAGCUAGUUGGCAGGGUAAUGGCCUACCAAGGCAACGAUGGUUAGCUGGUCUGAGAGGAUGAUCAGCCACACUGGAACUGAGACACGGUCCAGACUCCUACGGGAGGCAGCAGUGGGGAAUUUUGCGCAAUGGGGGAAACCCUGACGCAGCAACGCCGCGUGAGUGAUGAAGGCUUUCGGGUCGUAAAGCUCUGUCAGAAGGGAAGAAGUGUAGGAGUGCUAAUAUCACUUUUACUUGACGGUACCUUCAAAGGAAGCACCGGCUAACUCCGUGCCAGCAGCCGCGGUAAUACGGAGGGUGCGAGCGUUGUUCGGAAUUAUUGGGCGUAAAGCGCGUGUAGGCGGUCUUUUAAGUCUGAUGUGAAAGCCCUGGGCUCAACCCAGGAAGUGCAUUGGAUACUGGGAGACUUGAAUACGGGAGAGGGUAGUGGAAUUCCU